UACGUAGGGUGCAAGCGUUGUCCGGAAUUAUUGGGCGUAAAGAGCUCGUAGGUGGCGGGUCACGUCGGGUGUGAAAGCCCGGGGCUUAACCCCGGGUCUGCAUUCGAUACGGGCCUGCUAGGGUCCGGCAGGGGAGACUGGAAUUCCUGGUGUAGCGGUGAAAUGCGCAGAUAUCAGGAGGAACAUCAGUGGCGAAGGCGGCCUUCUGGUCCAGUACUGACACUCAAGUGCGAAAGCGUGGGGAGCAAACAGG
rnacentral:rRNA from 1 species